rnacentral:lncRNA from 1 species
GUGAGUUCCAGGACAGCCAGGGCUAUAAAGAGAAACCCUGUCUCGAAAAACCAAAAAAAAAAAAAAAAAAAAGAAGAAGAAGAAGAACUGAGAGCUCGGACUUCAGCCACAGACAUGAGGCAGAUGGCAAACCAACUGGAAGUGGCUAGAAACUCCCAAAGCCUGCCUCCAGUGACAUUCUUCCCUCUAGCCAGGCUACACCUCCUCUAAGCAUUACCACCAACUGGGACAAUUGGAAACCAAGCGUCCCAAUACCAGAGCUUAGGGAGAGCAUUUCUCGACCAACCCUACACAUUCCACUCCCUGGCCCCACAGGCUCAUGGCCAUGUCCUAGUGCAAGAUGCAUUUAGUUCAACUUCAAAAGCCCCCAUAGCUUCCAGAUUCUCGGCCCUGUUUAAAGGUCCAAUGUCUCUCUUCCGAGACUCAUGGUGAUCUCUUAACUGUGGUUCAGUUAAAAUUAAAAAGAAAAUGAUGAACUUCACAACAUAAGACUAUACAUUACCAGGGCUGGAGAGUUGAUUUAGAGGUUAAGACUAUACAUUGCCAUUUAAAAAGGAGGAACAUGGGUGGGCACUGUAAGGAAUUCCUGGGCCAAAACCUACCAGGGAGUCCUUUCCUCCUCCUCCCAACCUCCACCCAUGGAAUUUAGGUUUGUAGAUUGGGGAAGGGUUAAAAAACAGAACAGGACAAUGAGGCCAAGCCCAGCACUCCAGCUGUGCUGUUCUUCCUACACCCUCCCUAGACACUGAAACUGAGACAGCUGCCCGAACUAUGGUGCAGGUUCCCAACUCUGCCCCUUGGAAGCGUCAUCUCCUCCUGCUCCUGCCACAGGGCUCCUGCUCCUCACUCUGAAAAGAUAGCUCAUGCAUUGACGGGAGGGUGUUGAGUGUGUCCCUCUGUGAAAACAUGCUCUCGCGUCUGUUUUCCUGUUGGUGGAGCUUUCUUUCUGUUGGAAAAGUUCUGCUGAAUCACCAAGUAUGUUGCUGGAGUGUUUAUUUAGUAUUUAUUUUUUUUAAAAAUAAACUAUAGUAUACAUGAUAUUGAGAAAAAAAUAAAAUUUACUAAUCAAACGAUUUUUUUAAUGAAGCAGCCAUUCCCCCUUAUUUUAGAGGGUGACAGAACAUUGGAAGAGGGAAACUUCAGCUGCAGAGAGGACCCCUCAGACCCUUAACCUAUUGGUUAUCCCAAUUAUUAAAGAUCUCUUCUUUCUAGUUAAGUUUAGUUAACCAUUGUCAGGUUUCUUCUUUACUAAGUUUGACUCAUCCUAUAAAUUCUACCAUCUGUUCCACAAUGUAGCUCAUCC